rnacentral:rRNA from 1 species
GAUGAACGCUAGCUACAGGCUUAACACAUGCAAGUCGCGGGGCAGCAUGGGGGUUGCUUGCAAUCCCCGAUGGCGACCGGCGCACGGGUGAGUAACGCGUAUCCAACCUGCCCUUCACCACGGGAUAACCCGGCGAAAGUCGGACUAAUACCGUAUGUUGUCCAUUGACGGCAUCCGAUUUGGACGAAAGGUUUGGCGGUGAAGGAUGGGGAUGCGUCCGAUUAGCUGGACGGCGGGGUGACGGCCCACCGUGGCGACGAUCGGUAGGGGUUCUGAGAGGAAGGUCCCCCACACUGGAACUGACACACGGUCCAGACUCCUACGGGAGGCAGCAGUGAGGAAUAUUGGUCAAUGGGCGUAAGCCUGAACCAGCCAAGUAGCGUGCAGGAUGACGGCCCUAUGGGUUGUAAACUGCUUUUAUGCGGGGAUAAAGUGGCCCACGUGUGGGUUUUUGCAGGUACCGCAUGAAUAAGGACCGGCUAAUUCCGUG